CUAGGUAGUCAGAACAUCAAAUGACUACCUACCAUUCGUUGAAGAAAACCAGGAGUUCCUCCUGUGGCGCCCUGGGUUAAAAUUCCGACUGCAACAGCUCAGGUUGCUACGGAGGCACAGGUCUGUCCCUGGCCGGGCUCAGUGGGUUAAAGGAUCCAGCGUUGCCAUAGAUGCGGUGUAGGUCCUUGGCCUGGAAAUGUUCAUAUGCCAUGGGUGCAGCCAUAAAAAGAAAAAAAGAGAUGAAAACCAGGUAUCUCAAGUUAAUGAGUUUUAGUAUAGGAAGAUGCAAGAGCCCAAGCUCACUGAAAUCACUGCUUUGAUAGGCACCUCAGCCAUCUGGGCUGGUAUCCUGAACCUUCCCAUCCUGAGUCCCCUUGGGUACCUUUGAGGGUGGCUGCAGUGGCUGAGGGCUUGGCAGGGAUGGACAGUCUGUGUGUCUCCAUCCUGAGUUCCCUUAGAAUCACCAUUGGUGGGGGCGGGGUGCACCGUAGUAGCAGAGGGCUUGAUGGCCGGAGCAUCCUUUGCUGAUAUGGCAGGCAACAUUUGUCAUCCCCGGUGCUUGUUGGAGGGAGCUUUUCUAAGAAGCUUCUAGAGGUCUCUUCACAGCCUUUCUGCUCUCUGCCAGAGGGCACAGGGUGCAGCCAAGAGCCCCAAUCUGUUGUAUCAAUGAGGGUCCCCACAGGAACAGAUGGCACCCCAUAUGAGGAUAAUCAGGGUUUUUUUGUAAAGUAUGAAGUGUGGAUGGGAUGAGGGGGGAGCUCGGGGAUAGUGCAGGACGCUGAUGGAGCAGAGCAGUGGAGCUGUGCCCCUCCUGGACCCCGGGGAACAAGGAAGCGGGUGGCUCUUCCAUGAGGCGCAGGGAAGUUGGUUGCUUUGCGAGAAGCACCAGCCUUCGGUCAAGGGCUGCCGCCAGCCUGAGGUGAGCUUACAGGAGGGAGUCACAGACGUCAACGCCCCACCUUCACUCUCUUCCCUCGCCGGGAACCCUCCAUGGCUGGACCCACAGGGAAGCGUGAGGGAUGGGGCGUCCUUUGGCAAAGUCCAUGCAUGUUGGCCUUCCAGGGCAGAGGGCAGGGAACGGAGACGAGGAUCCUGGGUCUGGAAAAGGAAACCACACACACUGCACACAGACAAGCUGAGGCAGAGCCCGCUCCAGCGGUAGGAGGCGAGGACAAGGACCCGCUACAAAGGGCCGUAACGAGACGGCCUUGUUCUUUCUUUGCCACAGUAACUACAAGCUGAGUAGUUACGCAGUCUCGGCCUGUGGCGAGGGGUCAGCAGGCCGUUUGGUUUUGGUCUCUGGUUAUGGCUCUAAGUGAUGUGUAGGAAACAUCUGGAGACAGAACAAAGCCAUCGCCACUGGGCCCCGGGGAUAACCAGACAGAUUUGACAGUUACCAUCACAGAGGCCAAGAUGCGGUGUGGCCGGUGUCCUUUAUCUGGACAGAAGUGCUUGCUGCAGAGCUGGAAAUGAACAGCAAGUGCUUUUAUAAACUCAACUUUUAUUUUCUUUUAAUGUUUUAGUAACUUUUAUUAGACUAAACUUUCCCACAAACAGUUAUAAACUCUGGAAAUUUUUCAAAAUUUUAAUUUUUUUCAGCUUUAUUCAGAUGUAAUUGACACAUAACAUUGUGUAAGUUUAACAUUACAAUGUGGGAGUUCUCGUCGUGGCUCAGUGGUUAACGAAACAAAUCCGACUAGGAACCACGAGGUUGUGGGUUCGAUCCCUGGCCUUGCUCAGUGGGUUAAGGAUCUGGCAUUGCCGUGAGCUGCGGUGUAGGUCACAGAUGUGGCUCGGAUCCCACAUUGCUGUGGCUGUGGUGUAGGCUGGUGGCAACAGCUCCGCUUAGACCCAUAGCCUGGGAACCUCCAUAUGCUGUGGGUGCGGCCCUAGAAAAGACAAAAAGACAAAAAAAAAAGUUACAAUGUGUUGACUCGAUACAUUUAUAUAUAUUGCAAAAUGAUUACCACAUAGUGGUAGCUAACACCUUCGUCAGGUCACACCUAUCAUUUAUUUUCUAUGGUGACAAAAUUUAAGAUCUACUCUCUUAGCAAAUUUCAGUAUAAACUACAGUAUUAAUACUUAGAAUCACCAUGUGGUACAUUAGAUACUUAGAACUUUCUCAUCUUAAAACUGAAAGUCUCUAGUCUUUUUCUUCUUCUUCUCUUUUUCGGCCUCACUUAUCACGUAUGGAAGUUCCUGGGCCAGGGAAUGUAUCUGAGCCACAGCUGUGAUCUACGCCACAGCUACAGUGAUGCCAUAUCCUUAACCCACAGUGCCACAGUGGGAACUCAGAAAGUCUCUACUCUUUCGUCAGCUUAUUUUUAUAAAUCUCUGUAUACAAACUACAUGGAAAUUUGAGGCCAAAACAAGAGUUUUACUUGAAUCACAUCUUUAGCCUCUGACUAGAAUUCAACAACACAGUGAGAGCAAAACCCAGCAAACAAGAGCCAAAGGGUCACAUCCAGCCUGCAUCUGUUUUUAUAAAUAAAGUUUUAUUGGGACACUGCCAUGGUCAUUCAUGAACACAUGGGCAGUUUCUAUGCUCAACAACAGAGCUGGGUAGUUGUGACAGAGUCUGACUGGCCCAUAAAGCCUUAAAUGUUGGUGUUCUCUUUGGCACUUGACAGUAAAGUGUCCUGGCCCCCGAGUCAGAGUCAGUGUUAACAGCGGAAUGUGAUGCGUGAUAACAAUACGAGUGGGUCCGAGGCGACUGCCAGUUAUUAUCUACCACUGGACCCAAACUGGGAAAAGGCAGCAGACAUGCCUGUUUUUCACAUCCAACUCCUAGCUGCACCCCGUUCAUAGCACAGGACUCAGGAUAGAAUGGGUGCCCCCCAAAAUGCGUGCAAAGCAUAUGCGCACUUAGGGAGGUUAGACCCACACCAUCCGGCUACAGGGGACCUGCCCCUUAAAGAGGCAGGAAAUGUUUCCGUCCUAUGCAAUUUUAUAGCAUUGGCCCAUAGCUGGCUUUGGGAUUUUUUUUUUUCUUUGUCUCCCUCACUUUAUCUGAAAAGGCUAGUGGGAACGGAGGGAAAGGAAAGGAGCCGUUGGCACCUGGGUAUGGAGUGAGUUCGAUUCCCAUCCAUUCUCUGUUCUCGGGGCGUGUUUCGUUUCGCAUUUCAUGUCUGGAAUGUUGACUCUGCCCUUAAAGACUGACCCCGCCGCUGACCAGAGCCUCUCCACGGCUGUAACCUGGAGGCUGGACUGGAGCCUUGAGCUGUUUGCCAGAUCUUUCUGUGAUCUUGCUGAACACAGGGCGAGACCUCACUGCAAGUUAACAGACCCAGCUUCUGAGUAUACGGGUUGGGAAGGAAGGUCAGGGACUUCAUUUCAGAGGAAACGCUGUCUUCUCAGGCAUUCAUUCACUCAUCUGCAGGUAGGUGAGAGACAGGCACAAAUGUUUCUUUGCAAUGAGUAAAGCAUAUGAUGUGUCCCAUGGUGAUAAAUUCUGUGGUGAAAAUAAAGCAAGGUACGGUGAUAAUGCUGGGCUGCGGAUGGGGAAAUGUCAGGUAGAGUGUCUUUGGAUUUGUUUGAACUCUCGGUUGAUAAUCUGAAAUUCCUAUACCUGUUGGCUCUCAUGGUGGGUAAAUGAGCUCUUAACACUCAACAUUAUGAGAAGAAACAUCAUCAUUGCACUAGAUGAGUAAUUGGCUGGAGUUCCCAUUGUGGCUCAGUGGGUUAAGAACCCAGCCUCGUCCUAAGGAUGCAGUUUCAGUCCCAGUCUCGCUCAUGGGUUAAGGAUGCCGUGUUGCCAUGGCAGUGGCGUAAGCUGGCAUCGGCAGCUCCGAUUCGACCCCUAGCCUGGGAACUUCCAUAUGCAGAGAUUGUGACUGUAAAAAGAAAAUUUUAAAGAAAACAAAAGUAGUUGGCUAUCUGAUCCUCAUUUCAUGGAGGAAAGGGAAAAUUGUCAUUUAUUGAACACUUGGCUUUGCUGGGCUUUGAAACUGUUAGUGCUGUUAUAGCGGCAAUUCAGUCCCCCCUUGAACUUCUUUGUGUGCACCUUUGAAAUAACACACUGGGCCAAGUGAAAGUAGUACCUUGGUCCACCCAGAAAAUCAGGAAGCAGAACACAGAAGUUGACAGAUGUUGCUUUGUUGGAGACAAACGCCACAGUGACGUAAACAUUUUCUUUUUGGGACCAGAAGCCCCCGCAAGCCAGGAAACCAUCCUUUCCCACUCCCUUCAUCCAUCAGGCAUCUUCUGAAGAGACAGAAGGAUCCAGUGCUUCAGAGAUUCUGAUCAGCAUGCUCAGGUGGCCACAUAUGAAAACACUCCUUGGAGUUCCCGUUGUGGCUCAGUGGAUUAAGGGCCUGACAUAGUCUCCAUGAGGAUGCAGGUUCAGUCCCUGGCCUUGCUCAGUGGGUUAAGGAUCCAGUGUUGCCAUGGCUGCAGCAUAGGCCUCAGUUGCAGCUCCAGUUCAACCCCUGGCCCAGGACUGCCAUAGGCUGCAGGUGUGGCUGUAAAAAAAGAGAAAAGGAAAAAAAGAAAGAAAAUACACCAAGGCCCACCCCCCGGUGCUAAGCUCCUCAAGAAAGCAGGGCCUGGGAACAGGACGUGAGUUUGAUACAGACUCUGAACACACUGAAAAGCUUGAGAAACAGUCUUACAGACAGCUUAGUGGAUUUGCCUGUUAUACUGAAAUGUUCACAAAACCGCUUCUAGGAGCGUUGUGCAGAGAUGGUGAUACCUCAUCGACAUCUAAGCCCCGUCGCGCCUGCCCUGAGCAAUGUGUGGACUGCCUCUGUCCUCGGAAACGAAGCCUAGACCUCCAGCUCCCAGACGGUGGCAGGAAGCUCUGUGACCCCGUCUCCCAUCCGCGAACCCAGGGGGUGUGCCGAGCGGGGGUGGAGGUGAGAUUGGAGAAGGGCUGCUUCUGGGGGUGCUUUUCAGCAGGACUGAGAAGGACUGGUUCCCACAGCCUCUCGGGAAGAGGUUCCCACAUCCUCUGGGUGAAGAAUUUGGCCCUUACAGCCCCUUCCCUGGAACCCAGUGGGCCUCUUCUCCGCCUCCUCCGUCUGCCUGGGAGCCCACACGUCUCCACCGGGUGGGGGCAGGGCAAGGGUUUCCCAGGCCCGGGACGCAGUCCAGAAGUUCAUGCCAGUAAGGUCAGGAUUUCCUGCAGCCUCUGCACUCAAGUUUCCUCCGGGUCAGCUGGUCCCCAGAGCGGGCCCCGGAGCCCCCCAGACACCACUGCGGGCGCUGCUUCCUAUGGAUUCUGCCCUUUCCCACACUCUAGGGAGGAAAACAACAAACCAAACCAAACCAAACCUUUGUAUCCCUAGCUUCUUAUCUGCCUUCCUUAUCCUAUAUGCCUGCCUUCCUUAUCUCUCCUCAUCCUACUCCAAAUUUGAAUACAAGUCACCUAAAAUUAUUCUCAAGAUUUUUAAAGCUGCAGAUCCACGGCAUCACCCCUUCAGUCCCCCCAUGAAACAGUUGGGAUGUGACCCUGUGCCCCAGCCCACCAGUGGGGUUGCUCUUCCCUGCUUGGGAGCAGUAACAGCUCCAGCCUCCUCUUGAACUUGUGCCAAGACAUCCUGUGUUUAAGGAGGGUUGAAAUUCCCCACGGCGUUUUCUUUCUGGUGUCUUAAAUAGUUGCUUAUGUUUCCCACAGGAAACUUUACAGUUAGUGUGCAUUCCUAAAUCGAUUUCCCCCCGCCUCGUGUUUCCUUUCCUCUUGAGCAAAUCCUCAGGCGAUGCAGGAUGGGCUUUUUUGCCAGUGUGACCUCUCAGGGCAGCAUGAGACAUUUCCCUUUGCACCGCGCGCUUUGAUCCAUGGGAGCCAGUUUUCUUAUUUGCUCUGUACAUCUCAGCCAUUGCCUUGUUCAGGACUCUGUUGCACACGUGAGAAGCAUCUCCAAAGUCCAAUCAGCUCCCCUUAUUUUUUUUCAACUCACUAAAGGUUUUCUCUUAACAGCUCCAAGGGCUCCUUGUGGGGCUGGCCAUGUGACACCAGCCCCUCCAAACUCUCAAAGCCAAUGUCAGUUUGCCAGGUAUCAUUUCCGGGUUAUACAUGAAGCACGGCAGCAAAGGGAAACAGACUUGCUCAGCUAGAAGUGCCUGGUAGCCACAGAGAAAUGUUCCCAGUUAGAACCCUCUAGGGGGUAGGUCAUUUCAGAGCAUUUCUUUUGAAGGGAUAAAAAGACCAAUCAGAAAAUAGAAUCAAGGAAUUCUCAUCAUGGCUCAGUGGUAAUGAACCUGACUGGUAUCCAUAAGGAUACAGGUUUGAUCCCUGGCCUCGCUCAGUGGGUCAAGGAUCCAGCAUUGCCAUGAGCUGAGGUGUAGGUCACAGACAUGGCUCGGAUUCUGCAUUGCUAUGGCUGUGGUGUAGGCAGGCAGCUACAGCUCUGAUUCAGCCCCUAGCCUGGAAACCUCCAUAUGCCCCUGGUGUGGCCCUAAAAAAAAA
rnacentral:lncRNA from 1 species